rnacentral:sRNA from 1 species
CCCGCUUGACUGGCGGACUUCACCGGGC